GCCUUUGUGGUGUAGUGGUCAGCACGCUGGGCGCGUAUUCCAGAGAUCCGUGGUUCGAGUCCUGGCGAAGGCG
rnacentral:tRNA from 1 species